rnacentral:rRNA from 1 species
GACAUAGGUCGCAAACGUUAUCCGGAAUUAUUGGGCGUAAAGCGCGCGCAGGCGGUUUCUUAAGUCUGAUGUGAAAGCCCACGGCUCAACCGUGGAGGGUCAUUGGAAACUGGGGAACUUGAGUGCAGAAGAGAAAAGCGGAAUUCCACGUGUAGCGGUGAAAUGCGUAGAGAUGUGGAGGAACACCAGUGGCGAAGGCGGCUUUUUGGUCUGUAACUGACGCUGAGGCGCGAAAGCGUGGGGAGCAAACAGG